AGAACCCCUCACACUUACAAUCCUUUCGUGCUCUUCUCAUUCUUCCCCCAUCACUCUCUCAGACAAACUCGAGCGUCUCCGUGAAGUUUCUAGAACGAGGGUCUUCUCUUCGCUGGCUCCGCGGCUGCCGCCGAUGCUGAGUUCGGACUCCUUCACCUGAUUUCCGGCAAAAGCCCCAUCUUUGGCACCGUUGAGUUGUACGAACACCACUUGUUCCUUUGCUGCAAGAACCCUCGGGUUUGGCCAUCGCAAAUCGAGGCUACAAGAACCCUCUAGAAGCUAUGGCUAAUCGUGGGUCCCUCUAUCUUCAGCCGCGUGUUAGCAUUCACCACGAACGAUGUUACCUAUGCCUUCGCGAGUCACCUCGGCGAUGUUGAACUCGCUGCCACUUCUAUUGCCAACACUGUCAUCGUUGGCUACAAUUUCGGCCUCCUCUUGGGGAUGGAGAGAGCGUUGGAGACACUGUGCAGGCUUGGGUUUGGGGCAAAGAGAUAUCACAUGCUUAUACCACUGAUCUAGAAGAGGUUGAGGAGGUUAACAAGUAGCUUGCAGUUCUUGAGCAAUCUUGCCAAUAUAAAGACCCAUUAUUUAUGUUAGAGCUUGUUCUUCACCAACAAACCACCAGCGGUGAAAAAACUUCCUAUUUUUCUUGGCAAAGGAUGGUCGAUACAGUGAAGUGACUAUUGCAACAUUGACAGAUCUUGGUUUCUUAUGGUUUAGAGAAUUUUAUUUAGAGUCUUCACGAGUUAUUCAGAAUCUGGAAUACCUUGAGGAAUUUCAUUUUCAAAUUCAGAAAUUAAGGAUAUAUAUAUGUAAUACCGGUGGCAAGUGGAACGAAUGGAAAAUUGCUUCUUACAGAGAAACAUACCUUGCGCAGUUGUCAUGGAGUUGUGAUUGCCAUUGAUCCAUUGGCAGGGUUAUGUGUGCAUAAGGAUCCUUUUCUGAUGUCUGGAUAUAAAGUUAUAGAUGGCAGUGGCACUAUGCUGAUUGUUGUUGGAGAAGAGAUAGAAACAUGUAAGGAUUCUCACUUUGAACAGACCAAGGCAAUUGAAUGCUAUCUCACCUGAACUGAUCCUUCGUGACAAACAAAUAGUGCAUAUUUUGGUGGCUAGGGAAGUGUUAAGACAUCAGCCUUUAGUUAGCAUUUUUCUUUCGUUUCAU